UACGGAGGGUGCAAGCGUUUAAUCGGAAUUACUGGGCGUAAAGCGCACGCAGGUGGCUGAGUCAGUCGAUUGUGAAAGCCCUGGGCUUAACCUGGGAAUUGCAGUCGAUACUACUCAGCUAGAGUAUGGGAGAGGGUAGUGGAAUUCCAGGUGUAGCGGUGAAAUGCGUAGAUAUCUGGAGGAACACCGGUGGCGAAGGCGGCAUCCUGGACCGACACUGACGCUGAGGAGCGAAAGCCAGGGGAGCAAACGGG
rnacentral:rRNA from 1 species